UAAAAGAAGUAUACACACAACUCUUAUACAACCACUCUUCUUCUCAAAGUUUCUCGGUUUUCUCACCCUUCGCUCAACUUCUCAUAGAAAUUCUUCAAAUUUUCAAUCUCAAAUUUGUUAAAUCGCUACUCAUAUCACCAACCCUAAUCAAGUAUGGGCUCAAUUUCCUUUUAGAUUGUAUUUUUUUGUCAGAUUUUACCUCUUUUUCUUUCACCCAUUCAUAAAUAUGUAGAAGUUAGAAGCGGUUUGAAGGUUUAAGGCAAAAGAUUCUCGAAAAUCUAUAGAUAUCAGAAGUUGUUUGAAGGUUUUAAGAAGAAAGGUUGGAAGUUUGAUAAUCACUGCGAGCUUUUGAUGUUUUCGAUGUUUUGAAGUUGUUCAAAGGCUUGUAAGGUACCACACAUGUUUUAUCCUAUGCUUGUUUUCCGUAUUUUAUCGAUUCUCGAUUUCCACUGUGUGCUCAUAUUAAUGUAGAGAAAAAUACUUUUUUAUGUUAGAUUUACUUGAAUUUUUUGUAUUGAAAAUGUAUUCUAUUGAAUUUGAAGUAUUUAGUUAUAAGAAAUUUAUUGAAAAAAUUAAUUUUUUGAACAUGUACAUUUGUUCUUCUAAUAUGGACAUGAUUGUCAAUUGUUGUAUCACCAUGUACUAUAGAAGUUCUGCUCAUAUUUUUCAAGAAGAAGAAGAAUAUCCUACUCUUUUUCUCUAUCCAUCUUGUUGAUUGACACCAAAUAGUACUUGUAGUAUGCGAAAAAUUUCUCGGAGAUAGGAAAUGUACCAAUUAACAUUAACAUGACACUAGUAUCCAAAGGCUAGAACAUCACUAUGUAUGUACUUGAGAAGUCACAUUAACAACUUAUCUAAUGCUAAAGUGUGAGAAGAAACAAUGGAAGAAUACAAUUGGGAAAUGUAGAGAACUCUACAAAUUUGUUCCCCAAAUGUUAUUUCACAUUGUUGCAUUAAUAAUUGAUUUUCCAGCCUCUUUCUUCAUUUUCAUUGAUUUUUCACUCUCUUGAAACUACACGAACACUUGUUGCAUAUAGUAGAUCAUGAAAGGUGUUGGAUAAGAGCAGGAAGAAUAGGGAGAACAAGUAUUUUUUUUCUUUUUUUUGACUAAGAUCUUCUGAUAAGAUAGAAGCUGAGGAAAACGAGUACCAUAUCGAAGAAAAACUAAUGCAAUAUAGAAGGGCCAGUAUUGGUUACAAGAGACGGUUAGUAAAACGCAAACAAUACUAUAAAAAAUUUCUCAGUACAAGCAACCAUCUGAAAAGAAGAGGUUUGUUUUCUCCAGUAUGCUGAUUGCAGCUCCAAACAAAGGACUUUGGCAGAUUAGAGGGAGACUAGGUUGUUUACAUACGGAAAGCAUCGAUAAUGAAUGCAAGCUUCACUGCUCAGCAAUUUUGUUGCACAGGAAUUGAAAUCGUAUGGAACGUUCUUUAUGCACAAUCCGCCUCCAUUAUAUCACUCUCAACAUGUAAAAUUGAUUAGCUCCUUCCUACAUCCCCGACAAUUUUACUCUCUGUUUCUCUGACCACAUUCUGAUUUGGCUUUUCAUUUGCAUUGUAUUUGAGUGGGCAUUAACCAAAAUGUUUAACCUUAUUAUAUUACCAGUUACAUCAACCUUACAAAGCUUUCCACUAAAAGCCCCCAAGAAGCCAUGAGUGUCGUUGCCUUGAAGGAGCGGUGACCUCUCCUUUGGUUAGAUCAAAAUCAAGAAUAUUACCAGUUGUCAUCCAGUAAAUAAUGCCAUUCACAUGGACCCCUGAUUUUGGCAAUACUUUCUAGCUCCAAUAUAAUUUUGUACUCUGCUAUAAAGUUGAGCAACGGUGGUUCAAAUAAGAGCACAAUUGUUGGAUUUGAUCCAUGAUUAGCAUUUGAUUUUUGUUCUUAGAUUACAUGAACUGACAUUCAUUCUCUGUACUAACUCUAACUUGUUAGUAUUGUGGUUCUUAGAAUAGAAACUAAUUCAUGACACCUAUAGCUUUAACUUUAUAAUUUGACUCAGUGUUUUAAGUGGAAUCAGUGGUUUACAUUUCUAUCAAUGAAACAACAGUUCAGUAAAAUGUCCCACCAUUUUUAUUUGAUUGAUAUAAUACUUUGCUUUAUGACUUGAUAUUUUCUUUGGCAGGUAGAUAUAAUCAUUUUUAAUUUCUGAUUCUGAUACUUCUCCUAUUUUAUCUAAUGUUGCAGAAAAUGAAAGGAACUGGCAGAGGACGAGGACAAGGUAAAAGUGGAAGAGAUGGUGUAGGAAGUGGAUGUGGUAAUUUUUUAGAACACAAAAGUUUAUGAACUACGUCUCAACCACAAAUAUAACCAAUAAGAGUUGUUGAAAUAUCAUUAGAGACUGGACAAUAACCUAACCCAAUUCAAGGACGUCUAUAGGCAGAACAAAUAUCAAGUGCCCCUCUCCAAAGAACAUCUCCCCAGAUAUGAUCAUCAAGAAAUCUAGAAGAAAGUAUGCAACCCUCCCUAGAGGUUGAAACUGGUAUAGGUUAGUUCACGUCCCUCCCUUGUAGGAAACGAUUGAUUAAUGCUUUGCUGGUUUAUUCAUCUUGACAUUUUGGAAUAUUAGAAAGAUUUUGCACCCUCUAUUUAUUGAAACUUUUUGCAUUUGUUAGAGGAAAUCUGUUGGGUUUUUCUUUGAUAGCUGUUAUCAUCAUUAUAAUUUGAUCAACAAGAAUUGCUUUUGAUAGCAACAACUAUGAUAGCAGUGAAAACUUUGUUUGCUGCCAUCACUGCCUUGUUCACUUGAUCAUCUACCCUAUGUAUGAUAAUUGCAUUCUAUGCUUCCUUUCUACCAACCUGCAUAAAAAAAGCCAGAUCAUGACAAGUUAAUGUUUGAGCAGUUGCAUAUGUUUCAAUAUAAGUAGAUAUACUUAAUUGCAAGGUGCAGUCUGAGGGUAUUAAAUGAGAAAUCAACGACUAUAUGAAUUAUAUGAAUCUUCACUGAACAUGUUGGACUAAAAAUAAAUUUUACCUGAACGGCUCGAAGAACUACAUUAGUAAGUGGGGGAAAUGGAGUAUUGAGAUUGCCAGAGGCCCCAUUUACCGCACCUUAUGUCACCAUUUCUAAAUUUAUAAAUUUCGUAACCUUUUUAUUACCUUUAUGCCAUGACCUUCCAUAGCAGUGCUUGUUGGCAAAGUGAUAGCAAACAUAGAGGCUAGUGUGUCUUCAACAACGAAAAGUAUGCGUCAAUAGGUGCAAGUUGAUAUGAACCGAAAGUUGCAAGAAGAACGUGAACAAAUGACUGCCGAUUUAAAAAGGAAUAUGGAAGAAGAUUUGCAAAAACAAUUGGAAGGGAACAUGAACACAUGAAAGGUGAAGUAGACAAGAUGUUCCAAGAACAAAUGGCCGCUGUCAUGACUAGAAUUCAACAGGUACUUUAUCUUUUUCCUUCCUAACAAUUCUAUUCAGUUCUUUGAAAGUUUAGAGUUGUUGGUGCAUCAGUUGAUAUUGGUGGUGCCAUAAUUACGUAGUGUCAUUUGUGUUAUUGAGCCAGUCCAUUUGAGAAUUGAUGUAGAUUUGGAUUAAUUUCAAUGUCUUCUCUGGAAUUGAGUUGUUAUGUGAUGAUUGCUUUGCCGCAUAAAGAUCAAAACUAAUUUCAUUAGCAUUAGGAUAUAUAUUGUGGGGAGCAACUUGUUUUAUUCUUUUGUCAAGCUGCUGAGUUGCAUAAGCUCGAAAAAUAAAAUGGAAAUUGGGUGUUGCAAGGAUGUAGUGAAAAUUAUAGCAAAACAUAAGGAUACUUUUGGUUAAAAAACUCUUAGAUCCUUCCCAAUUCUCUGUUAUGUUGUGAGGAUCAGAGAAAAUUGCUUCUUCCUAAGCAUGUAAUGCAAUGUAAGCAUUCUUAGCCUAAAAUUCUCAAAAGAAAGUGAUGGAUUGAUGGCAAUAAUAUAUCACCACCAACAAACACAAAAGACUAAUUACAUGUAGAAGCAAACAAAAUCCCCUGAAGCUGGCAAUCUCAUUGUACAACUUUUGUAUCAAAUGCCUAUAGCUACGAGUUCCCUUUGUACAUUUCAAUUGAUUCAAUCUUUUUGGAGAUGAAUUAUGCAAAUAGGACACAAAUAUUUUUUCCAUACGUUUUAUGAGAAGGUCCCUAAAGAGAAUAGAUGCUAUAUUGUCACUGAUUCCAGUGCAUGAGGGAGGCAACAAUGACAUUUAAUUUCUAUACCACAUCCAAAUCGUCCAAAUUUGUUUGUCUUUGCAUCUAUGGGUAAUUUAUUAUAAUAUAGAGCCCUUCAAGUGAUGACUACUUGCUUGUUAGGGACCAUUUUAGCCAAACUUUUAGGUUUUUUCAGUUGCAUCCUUCUUAACUCUUAUUUGGUCCCAUAUUGAUGCUAUUGAGGAAGUACCAUUGUUAACGUUUUACUAAGUUUUCUUCAAUAGCCCCCGGAAAAGUGUACUCUAAUGUGCUCUAUAUCACCCCUUUUAUUAUGAGAAUUAGAGAUUGAUUGUGUGUUUUUCUAAUUACAGGGACAAGUUUAUUAAACAAGGGGCCAAUCAAGAAGAAGGUUGAAGGCGUACACUGGAAGUUUUUGCUUUUUGACCAUAAAUAUAUAUACAAUGGAAGUAUUUUUGGUUUUGGUUAUAUAUAUAUAUAUAUAACAACUGAAGUACUACUAUGCAGUUGAAUUUUUGGUAUUUAUAAUAUUUGACUUAAGAAUGCUUUUGUAUUAAUUUUGUGAAAUACUUUUAGAUGUUUUUAAUAGCUAUAUAUUAAUUUUAG
rnacentral:lncRNA from 1 species